GAUCCUGGCUCAGGAUGAACGCUAGCUACAGGCUUAACACAUGCAAGUCGAGGGGCAUCAGAAAGAAAGCUUGCUUUCUUUUGCUGGCGACCGGCGCACGGGUGAGUAACACGUAUGCAACCUGCCCUUUACUCGGGGGAUAGCCUUUUCGAAAGAAAGAUUAAUCCCGAUGGGAUAAUGAUUCCGCAUGGUUUCAUUAUUAAAGGAUUCCGGUAAAGGAUGGGGAUGCGUUCCAUUAGGUUGUUGGUGAGGUAACGG
rnacentral:rRNA from 1 species